GGGGCAUUCCGAUGAGUGUAUUUUGAUAAUAAGGAAAACCUAUUAUCAAAAUACACUCAUCGGAAUGCCCUAU
rnacentral:pre_miRNA from 1 species